AACGAACGCUGGCGGCAGGCCUAACACAUGCAAGUCGAGCGAACCCUUCGGGGUUAGCGGCGGACGGGUUAGUAACGCGUGGGAAUAUACCCUUUGGUACGGAAUAGCCUCGGGAAACUGAGAGUAAUACCGUAUGUGCCCUUCGGGGAAAGAUUUAUCGCCAAAGGAUUAGCCCGCGUUGGAUUAGAUAGUUGGUGGGGUAAUGGCCUACCAAGUCUACGAUCCAUAGCUGGUUUGAGAGGAUGAUCAGCAACACUGGGACUGAGACACGGCCCAGACUCCUACGGGAGGCAGCAGUGGGGAAUCUUAGACAAUGGGCGCAAGCCUGAUCUAGCCAUGCCGCGUGGACGAUGAAGGCCUUAGGGUUGUAAAGUCCUUUCAGAUGGGAAGAUAAUGACGGUACCAUCAGAAGAAGCCCCGGCUAACUCCGUGCCAGCAGCCGCGGUAAUGUCUGUACU
rnacentral:rRNA from 1 species